rnacentral:rRNA from 1 species
CUUUCAGUAUCCGAGUUGUAAUUUGUAGAAGCAACUUUGGUGAUGGUCUUUGCAUAAGUUCCUUGGAAUAGGACGUCAUAGAGGGUGAGAAUCCCGUUUAUGGUGAAGAACCCACACUAUGUAAAGUGCUUUCGAAGAGUCGAGUUGUUUGGGAAUGCAGCUCAAAGUGGGUGGUAAAUUCCAUCUAAAGCUAAAUAUUGGCGAGAGACCGAUAGCGAACAAGUACUGUGAAGGAAAGAUGAAAAGAACUUUGAAAAGAGAGUGAAAAAGUACGUGAAAUUGUUGAAAGGGAAGGGAUCUAAAUCAGACAUGGUAUUUUGUGAUCAACAGUCUUUCGGGACUGUGCACUCGCAUUUUACUAGGCCAGCAUCGGUUAGAAGGGGGUAAAAAAGAUUUUGGAAUGUGGCUCCUCGGAGUGUUAUAGCCAAGGUUAAUUGCCCCAUUUCUGACCGAGGACCGCGUCUUUUGACUAGGAUGCUGGCGUAAUGGUUUUGAUCCACCCGUCU